rnacentral:rRNA from 1 species
UGCGGAGGGAUCAUUACCGAGUUUACAACUCCCAAACCCCUGUGAACAUACCACUUGUUGCCUCGGCGGAUCAGCCCGCUCCCGGUAAAACGGGACGGCCCGCCAGAGGACCCCUAAACUCUGUUUCUAUAUGUAACUUCUGAGUAAAACCAUAAAUAAAUCAAAACUUUCAACAACGGAUCUCUUGGUUCUGGCAUCGAUGAAGAACGCAGCAAAAUGCGAUAAGUAAUGUGAAUUGCAGAAUUCAGUGAAUCAUCGAAUCUUUGAACGCACAUUGCGCCCGCCAGUAUUCUGGCGGGCAUGCCUGUUCGAGCGUCAUUUCAACCCUCAAGCACAGCUUGGUGUUGGGACUCGCGUUAAUUCGCGUUCCCCAAAUUGAUUGGCGGUCACGUCGAGCUUCCAUAGCGUAGUAGUAAAACCCUCGUUACUGGUAAUCGUCGCGGCCACGCCGUUAAACCCCAACUUCUGAAUGUUGACCUCGGAUCAGGUAGGAAUACCCGCUGAACUUAAGCAUAUCAAUAA